AUGCCGAUAGUGACGAUGAUGGUGAAGGCUAUGAAGGUUCAGAAUAUGGAGCUGCUGGAAGUCAAUACGGAGCUUCUUCAAGGAGCAAAGGAAAGGGCAGAAGUGGCAGCAGCAAAAAUAAAUAUGACAGCAACGAAGGCUACGAAGGAUACGAUUCAG